GACGAACGCUGGCGGCGUGCUUAACACAUGCAAGUCGAGCGGAAAGGCCUGCUUUCCCUUGUGGAUUGCGGGUACUCGAGUGGCGAACGGGUGAGUAACACGUGAGUGAUCUGCCCCCAACUUGGGUAUAAGCCUGGGAAACUGGGUCUAAUUCCCGAUAGGACUGCAGGGUGGUGCCUGUGGUGGAAAACGAUUUUCUAGUGGUUGGGGAUGAGCUCGCGGCCUAUCAGCUUGUUGGUGGGGUAAUGGCCUACCAAGGCGGCGACGGGUAGCCGGCCUGAGAGGGUGGACGGCCACAUUGGGACUGAGAUACGGCCCAGACUCCUACGGGAGGCAGCAGUGGGGAAUAUUGCACAAUGGGCGGAAGCCUGAUGCAGCGACGCCGCGUGGGGGAUGACGGCCUUCGGGUUGUAAACUCCUUGCGACCGCGAGGAAGCCACCUGGUUGGAAGGGUGGUGACGGUAGUGGUAGAAGAAGCACCGGCUAACUACGUG
rnacentral:rRNA from 1 species